GGCGGCGUGCUUAACACAUGCAAGUCGAACGGAAAGGCCCUGCUUUUGUGGGGUGCUCGAGUGGCGAACGGGUGAGUAACACGUGAGUAACCUGCCCUUGACUUUGGGAUAACUUCAGGAAACUGGGGCUAAUACCGGAUAGGAGCUCCUGCUGCAUGGUGGGGGUUGGAAAGUUUCGGCGGUUGGGGAUGGACUCGCGGCUUAUCAGCUUGUUGGUGGGGUAGUGGCUUACCAAGGCUUUGACGGGUAGCCGGCCUGAGAGGGUGACCGGCCACAUUGGGACUGAGAUACGGCCCAGACUCCUACGGGAGGCAGCAGUGGGGAAUAUUGCACAAUGGGCGGAAGCCUGAUGCAGCAACGCCGCGUGCGGGAUGACGGCCUUCGGGUUGUAAACCGCUUUCGCCUGUGACGAAGCGUGAGUGACGGUAAUGGGUAAAGAAGCACCGGCUAACUACGUGCCAGCAGCCGCGGUGAUACGUAGGGUGCGAGCGUUGUCCGGAUUUAUUGGGCGUAAAGGGCUCGUAGGUGGUUGAUCGCGUCGGAAGUGUAAUCUUGGGGCUUAACCCUGAGCGUGCUUUCGAUACGGGUUGACUUGAGGAAGGUAGGGGAGAAUGGAAUUCCUGGUGGAGCGGUGGAAUGCGCAGAUAUCAGGAGGAACACCAGUGGCGAAGGCGGUUCUCUGGGCCUUUCCUGACGCUGAGGAGCGAAAGCGUGGGGAGCGAACAGGCUUAGAUACCCUGGUAGUCCACGCUGUAAACGGUGGGUACUAGGUGUGGGGUCCAUUCCACGGGUUCCGUGCCGUAGCUAACGCUUUAAGUACCCCGCCUGGGGAGUACGGCCGCAAGGCUAAAACUCAAAGGAAUUGACGGGGCCCCGCACAAGCGGCGGAGCAUGCGGAUUAAUUCGAUGCAACGCGUAGAGCCUUACCUGGGUUUGACAUGGAUCGGGAGUGCUCAGAGAUGGGUGUGCCUCUUUUGGGGUCGGUUCACAGGUGGUGCAUGGCUGUCGUCAGCUCGUGUCGUGAGAUGUUGGGUUAAGUCCCGCAACGAGCGCAACCCUUGUUCACUGUUGCCAGCACGUUAUGGUGGGGACUCAGUGGAGACCGCCGGGGUCAACUCGGAGGAAGGUGGGGAUGACGUCAAGUCAUCAUGCCCCUUAUGUCCAGGGCUUCACGCAUGCUACAAUGGCUGGUACAGAGAGUGGCGAGCCUGUGAGGGUGAGCGAAUCUCGGAAAGCCGGUCUCAGUUCGGAUUGGGGUCUGCAACUCGACCUCAUGAAGUCGGAGUCGCUAGUAAUCGCAGAUCAGCAACGCUGCGGUGAAUACGUUCCCGGGGCUUGUACACACCGCCCGUCAAGUCAUGAAAGUUGGUAACACCCGAGGCCGGUGGCCUAACCGUUGUGGGGGAGCCGUCGAAGGUGGGACUGGUGAUUAGGACUAAGUC
rnacentral:rRNA from 1 species